rnacentral:tRNA from 1 species
UGAAACAUAAUUUAAAAUAAAAUAGAAGAUUUUUACUCUUUUAUUGUAAGUCAAACCUUACUGCUUCCA